rnacentral:rRNA from 1 species
UACGUAGGGCGCAAGCGUUGUCCGGAAUUAUUGGGCGUAAAGAGCUCGUAGGCGGCCUGUUGCGUCCGCUGUGAAAUCCCGGGGCUCAACCCCGGGCCUGCAGUGGAUACGGGCUGGCUAGAGGCAGGCAGGGGAGAACGGGAAUUCCUGGAUGUGAGCGGUGGAAAUGACGCAGAUAUCAGGAGGAACACCGGUGGCGAAGGCGGUUCUCUGGGCCUGUACUGACGCUGAGGAGCGAAAGCGUGGGGAGCGAACAGG